UCCGUCUUCCAAAAUCAGAAAACAAAAGAACCCUAGGAGAGAUCCAACUCGUCUUCCUCACCAUAACUCCGGCGACCAAGCGUUCACAGUAGCCCAGGUCUCCGUCUCUCACCGGACCCGACCCAGCUCGCCGAAAAUCCGGCGACAAUUCUUCAAAACAGCCGCGAUUCCACCAGCGAAGUCCUCCAUUCCAACGCCUGGCUCCCAUACGCCAUGAAAUCUCUCACCUUUAGCUUCCAUUUACGUCAUCCCGAACUCCAUUCUUAUCAACAAAGAAGUUCUGAAACCUGCAGUCUUCAGUAAACAUAGGUCGUCGUUCGAGUCACUUCAGGUUCAAGAUUUCCGUCGUGGUUUCCGGCUCACGGCCUGUUUGUUUUCAACUUCAUUGCUGUUUUCUUCUUGCAAACAGUUGGAAGAUCUCUGAUUCUGAAAGUUAUAAAAAGGUCCCUUCUUUAUACUCCUCUUAUUCCAUAUCAUUUUUCUAAUAUAGUGGUUGACCUUGGUGAGCUGUUGUUCUUCGGUGUUAGCUUGUCUUUGUUUGUCGCCUUAAUUAAUAAUCUGCUUCCUCGAUGAUAUAUGAUUCCUUGUUUUUACUUGCUUUACGAGUUCAUUAAAAUAUGUUGGAUGGUUCAUCUUUUGAUGCUUGGAAUUAAAUCAUGUUUUUAUACAAUUGUUACCUUGGCGCAAUGAUCUGAUUAUAAUAUGGACAGUAAAUUUGCUUAGCUAGUUCAAAUGAAUUUAAGUGAUGAGAUUGAAUGUAAGAUGAUGAUGAUAUGACUGAUUUUAAGUCUACUAAAUUAUGUACUAAUUCGUUUUGGGCUGCCUCAUUUGCUAGAAUAUUGGACUGUUGGUUUAUGUGCCAGACAAUAAGAAGGAUUGGUCAUUUAAAGAUGGUUUGGGCUUCGGGGAUAUAUAUUCGAGUCUGGUUGAUAUAAUUGUCAAUGGUUUAAAACAUAUCUGGGCUCCUAGACUAGAAAACUUAAUAAAGGCUAGCCUAUUUCCCCUAUAGUCCAUAGAUGUUCAUGCAUGCUCUAAAAAUGUUGGCAAAUUUAAUAUCUCCAAAAUACUUUAUUCAUCCAUAAGAUCGUGGCCUCAUAAUUAUUAAUCGCUAGUGUGGUUUGGACACGUAUUUAAAAAAAAUUACUAUCGUGAUUGGGGACACGUUCGCGUGACAUGAUUACGAUUUCUAAAAACAAAUCCGGAGUAUGCGUUCGCGCAACUUUGGCCAAACUUUUCUUAAUAACAAUGAAGCGUUACAUUUGUGGACAUGUUCGCGUGACGUGAUUUUUGACGCGCUUAAAAAAUGAGUACACGUACGCGUGACUCUCUUUAGGUUAAUUUCUUAAUUAAAAAGCGGUAAAAGGUAAAAUCACAUAGGUUCUAAAUUCAGUAAUUAAACAAUUUAGUCAAGCCAAGUAUAAUCAAAGCAACCGUGCUAGAACCGCGGAACUCGGGAGUGCAUAACACCUUCUACCGGGCUAACAGAAUUCCUUACUUGGAUUUCUGGUUCGCGGACUAUAAUACAAAGUCAAGUUUUCCUCGAUUCGGGAUUUGAAACCGGUGACUUGGGACACCAUAAAUUAUACCAAGUGGCGACUCUGAAUGUUAAAUAAAUAAUCCUAUUUCGACUGUCAAUUAAAUUGGAAAAAACUCCCUUAUACUCCCUUCCGGGAUGUAGGAAAAAUGAGGUGUGACAGCUCUGGCGACUCUGCUGGGCACUUGAACCCAGAAUCUCUGGUUCAGGGUUCAAGAAUUCGAGCUUGUUAAUAUGAUUUUGCUUGGUUUUAUUUAUUGUUGAUAUUACUGUAUUCUGUGAACCUUUUGCGCUAAAUGCUAUAUGUUUACCGCUUUAAUAUUGUUUGAAUUGUAUAUAACUGUCUUCUUACGCCGCCCCUCUGAGUCUUCUGAAAAUGGUGCAUACGUUCGCGUAGCCCGCUUUUUCUGUAGAAAUUAUACCAAAUAGAAUGAGGUUGGGCAAGCGACAAGGCCGGGUAGACUUCAGUGCUCCCGGUACGUCGCCCCCUCUUCGGCCCCAGUUGUCCGCUCGGGUACCCCAAGUCUAGAACAAAACCCCAGGAUUUAAACCUAGAAGAACACAACCUCAUGCCAGAUCCCUAGUAGGAACGUUUGUUUGCAUCACGUGCAUUUGACUUAGGGGACUCAAUACAGGGGUUGGGUUCGUCUAGGACAGGUGUACCCAAAAUAAUAGACCAUCUCGAUGCAUCCUGUAUGCUACAUGUUGCAUUCCUUCAAGGGUAAAAGGGUCAUUUGGCAGACCAAUGAUAAUUGAGGGCGAAUGAAAAAAAAAGGAAGAAAAAAAAAGAAAAAAAAAAGAAAGGGUGAAGUGUGAGGAUAAAGAGAGUAAGGCCCGAUUAUAUUUUCUGUUACAUUUUUGUUUAAAAAAAAGAUCUUGAAAAUUGAAAAGAUUUUGCACUUUUUAUCAUUUUUCAAAAAUCAAAAAAAAAAUCAAAAAAAGAGAAAAGAAAAUCCAAAAAGAUUUUAUAUGUUUCAUCAUUGUUUGAAAAAAAAAAGGAAAAAAAUGUGUUUUCUAUAUGUUAGUUGUUUUUAUUAUUCUUGCCCGUAUCCAAUCUGCCCGAACUACGCAUACCUGAUUCUCGUCUUUCGGGGCGUGAUACGUAGGCAACCCACAUAGGGUCCGGUCUUCCUAGUAAAUCUUAGAUUCUUGGCUUUGCGGGGUCUUAGCCAAAUUUUGCACUUCUAGCCAUCUUUUGACCAAAUAAGUCAUUUUGCAAAAAAUAGCCUAAAUCAUGUCUUGCAUGUUUCCAACAGAAAUGGGUUUUGCCUCACAUAGCGUUCUAGGCCUUUAACCUAUUUGGUUUUAAUUUUCUCAUACAGGUGUGGAUUUAUUUACCGGAGUUUGAACAUGACAGAUACCCCAGGAUUACUGUAUUCGGGAGUUGCAUGAGGAAUUUUUUUUUAUGUUUUAGAGUCUUUUGUUCAUGUUUUACUUUCUAGUCCUGUACAGUAGUAUUCAGUCAUUUAGUUAAUUUUUGAGUUUGUAAUAGUCUAGUUAAAUUUUCCGAGUGUUUUGUUAUUGUAUUUGGAAAUGUGUUACAAGUCAAAAAUCCAAA
rnacentral:lncRNA from 1 species